AACAACUGUUUAACCUUGCGAACUGCUAUCAGGGUCCAACUGGAUCAUUCUAAAGAUCGUAUCAUUUCUGCUCUCCCAGAUGACCCACCAACAGGCUGCUAGUUCCGGAAGCCUAUUACACAAAGAUUGCGAAGUUUUCCAACCCGUCCACCUAUCCCAGAUCGAAUUAAUGCCGACUCCCAAUUCCGUAGACUGAACACCCUUCACAACCAUCAGUAAUACGAAUUUAGCAAAUACACAU
rnacentral:lncRNA from 1 species